GCAAUUGAGUCUGAUCUAAAAGUACUAAGAGUGAGCGACUGGAGAACGUUGGCGCGGAAUAGGUCCGAUUGGAGAAGAUUGCUGGAAGAGGCCAAAAGCAAUAGUAGGUUGUAGUGCCCGCCUAAGUAAGUAAGUAAUGAUAACAGAGAAUGCGAUCG